rnacentral:lncRNA from 1 species
AGCUAGCGGCUGUUGGGGAUGAAUGUUGUCCUAAAAGCAAAAGAAAAAAAAAGAACGAAACAACCAAAAAACGGAGAAGGGGGGGGGUUAGGGGCAAACACCACGUGGCUGCAGGAGGAUUACAAGAUUUCCUUUCCUUUCUCCACUGACAAGAUUGCAAAAUGUGUGAACCAGAAGGCACAGCCAGGACGGGAGCGUGAGGCACUGUAGGCAAGAUUUAUCCUCAGGUGUGGUGGCAUAUGUCUUUAACAUCAUCAUUCAGAAGACAGGCAGGUAGAGCUCUGUGAAUUUUGAGUCCAGCCUGGUCUACCUGCGUUUUUUUUUUUUUUUUUUUCCUCCCUACCGGAAAUCUGAUGGGCUUAUGACAUCAUGGCUGGCUGCUGAGCGAUGGAGUGGAUGCCACAAAGAAAUCCGACAUGUCAGAUGGAUUCAGAAAUCCCUUUCCCUCCUGCGGCUGGAGGAGCAGGCGUGGAGUCGGGAGAGUCUGAGCUUUGUUUGAGAAAUUAUUAAGGAAAAAAAAACAACUAAACCAAGUCUUGCCUGACAUUAGAGGCGAUUCUCUUAAAAACG